rfam:Fungal sp. No.14919 DNA, contig: Contig0002.
GGUUUCCUAGUGUAAUGGUUAUCACAGCGGAUUCUGAUUCCGCUAAUCUGGGUUCGAUUCCCAGGGAGACCU